rnacentral:rRNA from 1 species
AUACGAAGGGGGCUAGCGUUGUUCGGAAUUACUGGGCGUAAAGCGCGCGUAGGCGGACUGAUCAGUUGGGGGUGAAAUCCCAGGGCUUAACCCUGGAACUGCCUCCAAUACUGUCAGUCUUGAGUACGGGAGAGGUGAGUGGAAUUCCUAGUGUAGAGGUGAAAUUCGUAGAUAUUAGGAAGAACACCAGUGGCGAAGGCGGCUCACUGGCCCGAUACUGACGCUGAGGCGCGAAAGCGUGGGGAGCAAACAGGAUUAGAAACCCUAGUAGUCC